rnacentral:rRNA from 1 species
UUGCGGCUAAAAAGACUCGUAGUUGGAUUUCUGUUGAGGACGUCCGGUCCGCUCUAUGAGACGUGCAUCUGGUUCGGCCUCGGCAUCCGCCUUGACAAACGUGUCUGCGACUUGAUUGCGUGGCGCGGAGGUAGGGCCUUUUACUUUGAGGAAAUUAGAGUGUUCACGGCAGGCAGUCGCCCUGAAUAUAUUAGCAUGGAAUAAUAACAUAGGAUCUUGGUUCUAUUUUGUUGGUUUCUAGAGCUAGGAUAAUGAUUAAUAGGGACAAUUGGGGGCUUUCGUAUUGCGGUGUCAGAGGUGGAAUUCUUGGAUUACUGCACGACGAACUACUGCAGAAAGCAUUUGCCAAGGAUGUUUUCAUUAAUCAUGAACGANAAGUUAGAGGUUCGAAGGCGAAUCAGAUACCGCCCUAGUUCUAACCAUAANCGGUGCCAGCUAGCCGAUCUGCCCGGGUGUUAUUUGUAGGCCUUGCUGAAGCUUUCGGG